GCCAAACACACUGAGCCACGUACAGCAUGCUCAUGCUGCGAGGCUCCCCGGAUGAAGAUGACACAGUAGGGUUGUGCGGUGUCAGGUAGAUGGCGACACUGAAGCCUGCAAUGGAGGCAGGUGUUGCUUUCUUCUGAUCUCCUCAGAGAUGCUGUGUGAUCUGAUCUGAGUCAGGAGAGGAGUAGACAUUAUGUAAAUGACAGAGCGGAAGGAGGAUUGGCGUGAGAGAGGUCACUGGCAAGGACGCAGAGACUCACCAGCCCUUCUGCCCACAGUGAUCCUUUCUGUGACUGAACGUUGAUGAGUUCCAUCUUGUGCCGGCCUUGUGUGACAAUCACAGCUGCUGAGAGUUCAAGGGUGCAAUGGCAUGGUAAACAUCUGCAAUGCAGAAGACUACACAGUAUGAACAGAAAUGAAGCUGCAAAGAAGACUCCGAGACCAGACCAGCUUGCCUAGACAAGGGAGAAUCCAGAUGCGCUGCCUGGAAGAGGCUUAGGCUGGACAGAAGCACCUGGAAAGGACACUCUUCAACCCGUUGAGCCGCAGUGAGGCUCUGAGAAGGGACGUAGGGUGGUCUGAGCAAUUUAAAGCAUGCAGCUUUAUAGAUGAUGUCACACUAUGAGCAGUGGCCAAAUCUCUGCAAGGGUCACUGCUUCAUGAGAAUACUUUUCCUUGGGAGAUGUGACACACGCUCCAGCGAGGGAGCUCAAGACGGAAGAAAGCAUAGCUACCACAGAAGCCCAACUGGGUGGACCAAUGCGCUUAUUGGGGUUACUUAUCGGAGCACAAAAGACUCAAAGACAGCUGUAUUAGCAAUAUCCAAAAACAGGGCUGGGAACCCGGAGCACCAUCUGUCGGUCUCCUCACCAGAACCGUUUCUUUAAUGGUCAGCUCUGGAGUGAGCCCUAGCCUAGGAACAGCUUCGCUCUCCUGUUCUGAGCCCCAUGCGGAUGCAGAGCACAGGUGGCCAGCGUAUUUUCACAUGCUGCUCUGCCCUGGACCUUGGAUCACACCCUCGCUACCCUUCCAUCAUAAUAUGGCUUCCUCUUCGUGCUCGGUCGUUUCCAGUUGAUUCUAGAAGGUUUCCUGGGUUUUUCUGCAGGUGUUCGUGCAGCUGAUGGAGUAGACAGUUAUUCUUCCCCCUUAAUUUGUUUAGCUCUUCGUGCAGUAGAUUUCAUACUAUGUGUAUAUAUUUUAAAAGGUUUAUUUGUUUUGGCAGGUUUAUACUCUACCAUCGUACUAUGUCAUGAGCACAUCACAAUAUAAAGUGGUCCCUGCAAUUAGGUUAGCAGUGGCUAUGACUUCAAAAUACUUGGCUGCUUUAGAGGUUUUGACAGCGUGAACAAAGUGCUCCCUUUGAGCGCUGUCACCUAGGGAUGGAUGUGUUUGUGGCAUUCACGGGGCAGAAGUGAGGUAAGACAACCACAUCUCCCUAUUAUGGUGCCAGAUAGAGUCUGCCCCUCCUUGAAUUUAAAGACUAGUACAGUUGGAAAACGCCACACCCGCCUGUUGUUUGUUGAGCGCUAAUGACUGAACAUGCCUUUGAUCUUGUGUCUCUUCUACACCUGAACUUGGGUUUGUAUUGCAAGUAUGUACACACUGGUAUGUCUCAGUCAGUGUUCUGUGUACUGAAGAGACACCAUGAUCACGACAAUGAUUACCAAAGAAAGCAUUUACUGGAGGCUUGCUUACGGUUUCAGAGGUUUCGUUCAUUAUCAUCAUGGUGGGGAGCAUAGUGGCAGACAGGCAGACAUGGUGCUGGAGAAGGAGCUGAGAGUUCUACAUCUGGAUCCGCAGGCAGCAGAAAGAGAGAGAUCUUGGUCAGAGCUUAGUAUUUUGAAACCUCAAAGCCCACCCCCGAGUGACACAGUCCCUACAACAAGGCCACACCUCCUAACCCUUUCAAAUGGUGUCACUCCCUAAGAAUUCAAAUAUGAGAAACUGCGAGUCCAUUCUUAUUCCAAGCAGCACACAGUAUUUCUAGUGACUUCUUGGAGACGAUGCAUUACUCUGUGUAUAUCUUGACAUGUCUGAUACUUACCAAGCUGAUUAAAAUUGCCGUUCUAACUUU
rnacentral:lncRNA from 1 species